rnacentral:rRNA from 1 species
ACGGGAGGCAGCAGUGGGGAAUAUUGCGCAAUGGGGGAAACCCUGACGCAGCAAUACCGCGUGAGUGAAGAAGGUUUUCGGAUCGUAAAACUCUUUUAUCAGGGAAGAUAAUGACGGUACCUGAUGAAGAAGUCCCGGCUAACUACGUGCCAGCAGCCGCGGUAAUACGUAGGGGACAAGCGUUGUCCGGAAUGACUGGGCGUAAAGGGCGCGUAGGCGGACUGAUAAGUCUGAUGUGAAAGGUACCGGCUCAACCGGUGACAUGCAUUGGAAACUGUCAGCCUUGAGUACUGGAGAGGUAAGUGGAAUUCCUAGUGUAGCGGUGAAAUGCGUAGAUAUUAGGAGGAACACCAGUGGCGAAGGCGGCUUACUGGACUGUAACUGACGUUGAGGCUCGAAAGCGUGGGGAGCAAACAGGAUUAGAUACCCUGGUA